rnacentral:rRNA from 1 species
GACGAACGCUGGCGGCGCGCUUAACACAUGCAAGUCGAACGGAAAGGCCUGCUUUCCCUUGUGGAUUGCGGGUACUCGAGUGGCGAACGGGUGAGUAACACGUGAGUGAUCUGCCCCCAACUUGGGUAUAAGCCUGGGAAACUGGGUCUAAUUCCCGAUAGGACUGCAGGGAGGUGCCUGUGGUGGAAAACGAUUUUCUAGUGGUUGGGGAUGAGCUCGCGGCCUAUCAGCUUGUUGGUGGGGUAAUGGCCUACCAAGGCGGCGACGGGUAGCCGGCCUGAGAGGGUGGACGGCCACAUUGGGACUGAGAUACGGCCCAGACUCCUACGGGAGGCAGCAGUGGGGAAUAUUGCACAAUGGGCGGAAGCCUGAUGCAGCGACGCCGCGUGGGGGAUGACGGCCUUCGGGUUGUAAACUCCUUUCGACCGCGAGGAAGCCACCUGGUUGGAAGGGUGGUGACGGUAGUGGUAGAAGAAGCACCGGCUAACUACGUG